UACGAAGGUGGCAAGCGUUGUUCGGAUUUACUGGGCGUAAAGGGAGCGUAGGCGGUCCGGUAAGUCCGCUCUGAAAGCCCGGGGCUCAACCCCGGGAGGCGGGCGGAUACUGUCGGGCUAGAGUCCGGAAGAGGCGAGUGGAAUUCCUGGUGUAGCGGUGAAAUGCGCAGAUAUCAGGAGGAACACCGAUGGCGAAGGCAGCUCGCUGGGACGGUACUGACGCUGAGGCGCGAAAGCGUGGGGAGCAAACAGG
rnacentral:rRNA from 1 species